CCUACGGGUGGCAGCAGUAGGGAAUAUUGCUCAAUGGGGGAAACCCUGAAGCAGCGACGCCGCGUGGGUGAAGAAGGUUUUCGUAUUGUAAACUCCUUUUGUUAGAGAAGAUAAUGACGGUAUCUAACGAAUAAGCACCGGCUAACUCCGUGCCAGCAGCCGCGGUAAUACGGAGGGUGCAAGCGUUACUCGGAAUUACUGGGCGUAAAGGGCGCGUAGGCGGGAGAGCAAGUCAGAUGUGAAAUCCUAGGGCUUAACCAUAGAACUGCAUUUGAAACUGUUAGGCUGGAGUAUGGGAGAGGUAGGUGGAAUUCUUGGUGUAGGGGUAAAAUCCGUAGAGAUCAAGAGGAACACUCAUGGCGAAGGCGACCUGCUAGAACAUAACUGACGCUGAGGCGCGAAAGCGUGGGGAGCAAACAGGAUUAGAUACCCGGGUAGUC
rnacentral:rRNA from 1 species